UGCCAGCAGCCGCGGUAAUACAGAGGGUGCAAGCGUUAAUCGGAAUGACUGGGCGUAAAGGGCGUGUAGGUGGAUAGAUAAGUUAUGUGUGAAAUAUCCGGGCUUAACCUGGAGGGGUCAUGUAAUACUGUCUAUCUAGAGUAGAGCAGAGGGAAGUAGAAUUUCCGGUGUAGCGGUGAAAUGCGUAGAGAUCGGAAGGAAUACCAGUGGCGAAGGCGGCUUCCUGGGCUCAUACUGACACUGAGGCGCGAAAGCGUGGGUAGCAAACAGGAUUAGAUA
rnacentral:rRNA from 1 species